rnacentral:lncRNA from 1 species
UUGGAUAGAAGGCAGGUUAAAGCAGGCCCACAGAGUUUCACACCUGCAACAGUGAUAGAAUCAGGGAAGAGUUGGCAACCUAAGUCAUCAGAUACGAAGCAGUGCCAUGAGCAAAAGCUUGCCAUGCUAGUUUAGUGACGAUUCAUGUGCAAGCAGUUUACAAAGGGUGGGCAACCGGCUUGUGUCACAACUUGGGAUGGAACACACUCCACACAGGUUCAGCUAGGAGACUUAAGCGCUGUGGCUCCAGAUUCCAGCUGUUAAAUUCCACUGCUAGUGAGGUUCCCAUCUAAUUCAGUGUUCCUCACAUAUACACAAAGCUUCUAGCUGGUUCCGCUUCGCUGCCAUGUUUUCUUUGCUUUGUUGAAUAUGACUGACUUCUUCCUUUUUCACCUCCACAAGUUUCAACAGGUGACAAUGGAAUUUGACCCUGGAGAGGGUACAACCUUUCUCUCAGGAGGUGGCGCCAUAUAAAACCUUUAACUUUAUUUAGUUUUGCUCAGUUUGCAGCCUCCAAGCCUUGUGUGUAUAUCAACAAUACACAUAGUUCUCUUCCUUUUGUGUAAGGCCUCCAAUAGGAACAGCGUCAGGCCGUUUGUGCUGAAAUUUUCAAGUUUCUCUUUUUGUUUGAUCAAUCAAAGUACAGUUUCUCAUCUCACCCAAGAUCAUAUCUGGAACUAACCAUCAUACUUUCAGAACAAUUUACUCAUUUCACAUUACUCCAAAUCCUAUGGUCAAUAGCGAUGAAUUGCACACCUGUUUUUAUAAAUUUAGCUUAGAAUUUGUCUCAUCCCUGCAUCCAGUAUCAGGGACAGCAGUGCAUUGUCAUACCUUAUAUUUCCUUUCUUAAUUUUCUUCUCAUCUCUAAGACGGUCCAAGGAAUGCAGAGCAAUAGAACACACAAGGACAUUUUUGUCUUCAUUUGCACAUUUUUUUCCUUUGCUUGCACAUUUGCCCUGGUGAGCUGCAAGCUCUCAGGCCUGCUGCUGCUUUCUCUCCAGUAGAAAGUAAGUCUAUCACCUCUUUUUGUGUGAAUUUGUUAGAGUGCUUUUUAAAUGAGCCUCUGUAAUCCAGUGCAAAUGGGAAAAAAAUUGAUUGCUGAAUUAAAACAAGUUGGGGCAUAAUUUAAUUAGUACCCAGGCAGAAGGGAAGAGAAACUACUUUAGGUCUUUAAUGGGAAAUCAAUUUUGCAAGAAAAUUUCACAUUUUUAAGCCUAAUUAGAAAAACAUUUACUUCACAGAAAAGCAUUCUGAGAAUACAUUUUCAAUCAAAUGGCAGGUUUUUUGGCUUCCAGUGGUCAAUUACGUGCUACUUCUCUGAAAUGAGUUAAAGUUAUUUCUUACAGCAUCUUUAUGGCCAAAGAUCAUCAAACAAGUGAUGUUUUCUAAGCACAUUUAGGAAUUUGAUGGCAACUCAAGCUGUCAAGAGACGUUUCCCCCAACACAUACCAGCAAACAAGAGUGCAGACAGCUCUAAGUGACACAUGAACAGUAACCUUGCCUGUCACUCACAGGCUGCCGUGUUUAGGAAGGACCCUGAAAACAUUCACUUACAUCCACAGCCUUUCAGGAGGCCAUAGAUAGCGCACUUCCAGACAGGAGCAGGCUUACUCCUGCCCAAUGGAAAAAGUUGGGGGGGGGGGGGUGCAGGGCAGACACAUGCGAAGAUUGUUGCUGAUACUUUUAGUUGAUAGUUACAUAAACAACAGUUUCCUCCUGCUAUUUUUUUUUUUUUGUAAUGUCCGGUUCACUGUACAUUCCUUCCCAUGAACCUCAUCUUCAUCUUUUCUGUGAUUCAUGUAGAGCCAUACAGGUUAGCUUUAACUAAGUUUUAACAGUAAAGAUUAAACAACGAGGGCUCUACUC